AUCCUUAUUGCUAAGCCGUGCACAAUUGUAUUUCCCUUUAUUGUGAAUCAGAACACUGGUGCUUCUUCCAGGCAGAGGAACUUAUAAAAGGACCCCUCUCUUCUUGUGCUAAAGCAGCUAGAGCAGAGCCAAGGUUGACAUAAGAGAGGUCUGCUUGACUGCAAGCAAAACCUGGAAUGCCAUAAGUGUUGGACUUCUGUGUCUCCUGCAAGUUUAAAGCCUUCUUGCUUCUUCGCUCAUUGGCAUCAUCAAGCUCAAAUGAUACAUUCUCAGAGAAGCCUGCCCGAUCUCCCUGAACAAGGCUCAAACUUAAUACAGAGGAAGAGAAAAAAAUUCCUGGAGCUGGUUCCGGAUUGAGGGCCUUGCGCCGAAGCUGGAUCCGGAGGAGAUGAAACGGAAGAUGCGCGAGGAUGUGAUCUCUUCCAUACGGAACUUUCUCAUCUACGUAGCCCUGCUGUGAGUCACUCCAUUUAUCUUAAAGAAAUUGGACAGCAUAUGAAGAUGGGAGAUCACAUAUGAAUGCAUGAUAUGAAGAGCCUGGUUACAGUUUCUACUCUUCUCUGCAAGUGAAUAGGCCCAGAAAGGUGUAAGAGAUUCUUUGAAUGGACAUAAAAUGUCUGCUUAUUAAGAACAAGUUCGGGUCUGGUAACUGACCUUCAAAGCUAAAAUAUAAAACUAUUUGGGAAGUAGGAAAAAAAAAAAAUUCCUGGAGCUGAAAUUUCCCCACCUACAUCUGGUCAGCCUCAAUCAGUCCAGACUUUGCUUCUAGCUUCCCAUGUGAUCUCAGAUAGGUCACUCAAAUUCACUGAGCCUCAGUUUUAUCAUGUGUGGGUUUGUGAGUGUAUGUGGUAGCAGAAAUGUCUAGAUAAACACAGAAUGUAGUAUAAAAUAAAGCAGUUGAAC
rnacentral:lncRNA from 13 species